UUGACCUCGGAUCAGGUAGGGAUACCCGCUGAACUUAAGCAUAUCAAUAAGCGGAGGAAUUGACCUCAAAUCAGGUAGGACUACCCGCUGAACUUAAGCAUAUCAAUAAGCGGAGGAA
rnacentral:rRNA from 1 species